ACAGAUCGCCAGAUCGUUGAGCUGCAUUGGCGGGAUUUCGCCGUCUUCGUUUCUCUUUCUUCGCGGACGAACACGCGCUGGGGCUGCAGGCUUGCAGAUCCCUGGUCCUUGACUGGAUAUGCGUUAGGGGCUUGUAGCUCAGUUGGUUAGAGCGCGCGCUUGAUAAGCGUGAGGUCGGAAGUUCAAGUCUUCCCAGGCCCACCACUUUCAUCGAGUGUGCAUUCGUCUUCUGGUUACGGGGCCAUAGCUCAGCUGGGAGAGCGCGUGCUUUGCAAGCAUGAGGUCGUCGGUUCGAUCCCGUCUGGCUCCACCAGAUGGUUUGAUCACCGAGAUCUUGUACCGUCGUCCGCGAAACAUCACUUCGCACUUGCUAGUCCGGAUGGACAGUAAGCUGCGUGAUUUCUGACAUCGUAAAGAGGAGAUCGAUCCGAGUUGGAUCGUGCGGAGAAUAUCUGCGCGAUACUUCAUUAUCUCCGGAUCAUUUCGGCGCUCGCGCGCCUUUCAGUGUAGCUCACAAGGCUGCGGCUGAGAGACGGGCGAGUUGUGAAUGAUCCUUUUAGCGAAGCUUGACCGCCUCGCUAUCGGAACGAUCUUACGAAGCAAGCUGGUCUUUCUAGUCAAUGUCCGGCUGCAGAUAGCGUUCAUCGAGGGCGCGUGCCGCAAGGUAAUUCUGCAGACAACAUUCUGCCGAGUGUGUGGACAUUGAUAAUGAGAGCAAUCAAGUGCCUUAAGGGUGUUCGGUGGAUGCCUUGGCGCUGAGAG
rnacentral:tRNA from 1 species